AGGUCUGCUGUACAGAGAGAAAAUUGACUUUUAAGCACAAAAGAUCCACAUUGGAUCCUGUGUUGUCUAUUCGCAAAGUUCUAUUUGACGUGCUGAGAAAUCUUUCCAUACCUCACAAAUGGUGCCAGGCACAUUGAGGACAAUGCCGCGAGUGGAGAGUACUGUCACUGCAGAUAUCAAAGCCAGGGGCAUCCCAGUUCUACUGGAGCCUGUGAUCUACAGUUUAAUGACAUGUUUUCGGGCCAAUUGAGUGACCUAGUGCUUUGCUGUCUCUGAGAAGAUCCUGAGAGGUGAUGGGCCUUGAAGCCAAGGAGCGCAGAGACAGGGCCGAAGUCCAUGAUUGACUCCAUUUCUCACCAAUCUUGCAGAUUAAAGUGUCGAGGAAGACUGAAACAUCAAGACCCAGACCCUGACGGUCAAGAACUGUCUGGUGACUGUCCAUCCAUCAGCCUCCCAACAUUAAACAAAGCCACGCACAGGUAUUCUCCAUUAAGGAAAACCGUCGGAAGAACCUCAUACUCUACUUGAGUGAUUGCACUGUUUCAGGGUAUAGUUUAAAAUAACCAAUUAACUUAACAGUAGGCAUUUUGGAUAUGUGCAGAAACCACUGCUCCCUUAGAAACCCAUGUAGUCACAGAGUGAACAUGUAAACUCCACACAGUCAGCAUCUGAACUCACGAUCAGACCCAGACCUCAGGGAGCCAUGAGGGGUAACUGCCACUAGGCCGCUUAUGGACGGAGGCCUCUAUCACUGCAAAACAAGUCCAUAUCACGAUUUCUCUCUUUGACCAUAAGAUCUACUCAAAAUCAGGAAAAAAGAAUAGCAAUGUGACAACAAUUUAAUCUUUAAUGAAGAACAGAUUAAAAUACUGUCACUGAUAUUUUUUUUCAACUUAAUUUCUUAAAUCAGUUGGAAUUUUUUUUCAAAGCUCAGAUAAUC